rnacentral:rRNA from 1 species
UACGAAGGGGGCUAGCGUUGCUCGGAAUCACUGGGCGUAAAGGGUGCGUAGGCGGGUCUUUAAGUCAGGGGUGAAAUCCUGGAGCUCAACUCCAGAACUGCCUUUGAUACUGAAGAUCUUGAGUUCGGGAGAGGUGAGUGGAACUGCGAGUGUAGAGGUGAAAUUCGUAGAUAUUGCAAGAACACCAGUGGCGAAGGCGGCUCACUGGCCCGAUACUGACGCUGAGGCACGAAAGCG